rnacentral:sRNA from 1 species
GCGAACGUGCUUGCACGAUUCGCCUGCACACAUCGCCGAGCGCAAGGACACGAGCAAGUAGCCAAUUUGCUGCAGGCAAAUUGAGCGGAUUGCGAGUGUUCACAGGAUUGCGGGAGUUGCGAAGCAACGAAGCAAUCCGUGUU